rnacentral:rRNA from 1 species
GUCGGCUUGAGUAACGCAAACAAUGGUGUGAAUCCAUUGCCCCGAAAACCUAAGGGUUCCUUUACUAGGUUCGUCCAUGAAGGGUUAGUCAGGUCCUAAGAUUAGGCCGAAAGGCGUCGUCGAUGGAAAACAGGUUAAUAUUCCUGUACUACUUGUUAUAUAUGAACUGAGGGACGAAGAAGGCAGCCACACAGCAGAGUUGGAUCUGUUGAGAGACGUUUGAGGUGAUGAAAGAUAGAACAAAAACUAUUCUUGAGCUAAAUCGUGUUAUGCCCUUGUCCCUGAUAAUUCCUCGGAGUUAUGAAGCAAGGUUUGUGUCUACUGCCAUACUUCCAAGAAAAGCUCGAGCUUCUUUAUUAUGACAGUAUCUGUACCCGAAUCCGACACAGGUAGGUAGGUAGAGUAUACUAAGGGGCGCGAGAUAACUCUCUCUAAGGAACUCGGCAAAAUAGCCCCGUAACUUCGGAAGAAGGGGUGCCUCUGAAAGGAGGUCGCAGUGAGCAGGCCCAGGCGACUGUUUACCAAAAACACAGGUCUCCGCUAAGUCGUAAGACAACGUAUGGGGGCUGACGCCUGCCCGGUGCUGGUAGGUGAAGGAAGUUGGUUAUUUGUUUCGGCAGAGAAGCUGACGACCGAAGCCCCAGUGAACGGCGGCCAUAACUAUGAUGGUCCUAAGGUAGCGAAAUUCCUUGUCUGGUAAGUUCAGACCCGCAUGAAAGGCGUAACGAUCUGGGUACUGUCUCGGAGAGAGACUCGGUGAAAUAGACAUGUCUGUGAAGAUGCGGACUACUUACACCUGGACAGAAAGACCCUAUGAAGCUUUACUAUAACUUGACAUUGACUUUGGGCUCCUUUUGCGCAGUCUAGGUGGGAGGCUAUGAUAUCUUGUUUCCGGGCAAGAUGGAGCCGUUUUUGAGAGACCACUCUGAAAGAGCUAAAAUUCUAAUAGUGAUCCUUGAAUCAGGACACUUGACAGUGUCAGGCGGGUAGUUUUUCUGGGGCGGAAUCCUCCUAAAAAGUAACGGAGGUGCGCAAAGGUUCCCUCAGGCUGGACGGAAAUCAGCUGUAGAGUGUAAAGGCAUAAGGGAGCUUGACUGCAAGACCUACAAGUCGAGCAGGGGCGAAAGCCGGCCUUAGUGAUCCGACGGUACCGCGUGGAAGGGCCGUCGCUCAACGGAUAAAAGUUACUCUAGGGAUAACAGGCUGAUCUUCCCCAAGAGUCCACAUCGACGGGAAGGUUUGGCACCUCGAUGUCGGCUUAUCAUAUCCUAGAGCGGUAGUACGUUCUAAGGGUCGGGCUGUUCGCCCGUUAAAAUGGUACGUGAGCUGGGUUCAGAACGUUGUGAAACAGUUUGGUCCAUAUCCGGUGUAAGCGUUAGAGUAUUGAGAGAAGCUUUCCUUAGUACGAGAGGACUGGGAAGGACGCACCUCUGGUGUGCCAGUUAUUCCGCCAGGAGUAAACGCUGGGUAGCCAUGUGCGGAGUGGAUAACUGCUGAAAGCAUCUAAGUAGGAAGCCCAUCUCAAGAUGAGUACUCUCUGUAAAGAUUCUCUUUGCAAUAGGCCACAGUAAGACAAACUGUUUGAUAGGUGUCAAGUGUAAGAUCAGUAAUGGUUUCAGCUGAGACACACUAACAGGCCUAGUGAGUUUGAUCA